AUGGGCCGCACGCGUGUUCCACUGACCGGGCACGGGUUAGGAUGUGCAAAAGCGCUUCCUAAUCUCUAAAUCCGCUCGUGCUGGGAUCGAGGCUUGCAAAUUUCCCUCUUGAACGAGGAAUUCCCUUGUAAGCGCGGGUCAUCAUCCCGUGCUGAAUACGUCCCUGCCCUUUGUACACACCGCCCGUCGCUCCUACCGAUUGAGUGGUCCGGUGAGGCCUUGGGAGGGAAAGAUGGACUGUGUUUCACAGACCGUCUGGCCCCAACUUGGUCAAACCUUAUCACUUAGAGGAAGGAGAAGUCGUAACAAGGUUUCCGUAGGUGAACCUGCGGAAGGAUCAUUCGUAGUGGGAUAGUGGGGCAAGGCAACCAAACGCUUUAGCCCCGCUUUUCUAUCAUGUCUCGUGGACAACUUUAUUCCAUCUUUUUGUUAUUAACCUUAUUUAACCCAUAUGAAAAUAAAAACAUACUUCUGUUUAAUCAGACAAAAACUCGUGACCGGUGGAUGUCUUGGCUCCAGCAACGAUGAAGNNCGCAGCAAAAUGCGAUACGUAGUGCGAAUUGCAGAACCCGUGAAUCAUCGAAUCUUUGAACGCAAGUUGCGCUCGCGGGCAAUCCUGCGAGCAUGUCUGUUUGAGUGUCCGCACAAAUGCGACUUUUGCUCUUUUCUAAAAGAGCUGCUGAUGGGCGUGCAGAAAUGCAGUUGAGUCCGGGUCUCUUGAAAGAGAGAUGCGGUCGCCCGAAGAAGAGAGCGCUGAUUGUCGUGGAUUUGUCCCUUUGCCAAUGUCCCUUGGACUCUGACGGGUUGUGGGUGCGGUCUUCGGACUGCUGCCUAACGAACACGGCUGUGCGUGCGCUGCGAAGUAAAUUUGUAUUGAGCAGACCGCAAAGUCUUGUAAUUAGGAACGCGAAUCAUUUCGUAACCAGAACUGUUCGGAACUUGGGAAUCAAAAGGGUUCAGACCGUGUACAAGUAGCCUUAACCCAUUCUCAUCAUUUUUCACUUAAAUCAACAAGAC
rnacentral:rRNA from 1 species